rnacentral:misc_RNA from 1 species
UUUCCGUAGGUGAACCAGCGGAGGGAUCAUUACCGAGUUUACAACUCCCAAACCCCUGUGAACAUACCAUUUGUUGCCUCGGCGGUGCCUGCUUCGGCAGCCCGCCAGAGGACCCAAACCCUUGAUUUUAUACAGUACCUUCUGAGUAAAUGAUUAAAUAAAUCAAAACUUUCAACAACGGAUCUCUUGGUUCUG